GCACAAUGAGUUUGCUGAUUUUUUUGCAUACCUGUUUCAUGCCCAGGUAUGUUCAGACAGAAUGCACAAUGAGUUUGCUGAUUUUUUGGGGUUUAUAUAAAAAAACCACAGAGCCGGGAUGAGCAUUCAGGAGUCCUGCCUCCCACCCUGGCACCACCGUGUGCACCACUAGCCAGCCACCAUUCAGGGCUCCUGUGCUAGCUUAGCUUGUCUGGCCCAGUAAUAAUGAAAAGGAAGAAAAGAUUUUUCACUAGGAAUUUGGAGUAUUUUCUCAUUAUAACCAACCAGCAUGACCAGAAAAAAGACUCCUGAUGCAAUCCGUGGGCCUAGUUCUCACUCCCCCGCUGGCAGGGCCUGAAAGACUGCUGGGGCCACAAGCCCCACUCCUCCAGGAGAGGGGAGGGAGAAUGGGCUAAAACCAGAUCCUGUCCAUCAGGUCUUGUAUCCUGUCUUCAGCACUGCCCAGACCUUCACGGUUCAGGGAAAAGCAAACAAACAAACAAAAAAUCCCCCCUGCUUCCCCCUUCCAGCACCCGUGGCCUGUGGUGCAGUAACCAAGGAAGCGGCUCGUCCCAUUACUGGCAGCUAGCCCUUCAAGAGAUGAGGACUGGGAAAGGCCUCAAUGCGCUCGUGGUUUCUCGUGCAAUAGGAAUGUGUGCCCAGAGAGAGAGAGGUGCCCGCUGACACAGCGCAAGGGAGGAUCCAGGAUUCUGACCCUGCUAAGACCCUCAGUCUGUCAAGUAACUAUUGCAAGUUCCAGCUGCACCAAAGCUCUCUCCAUCUGUGCUGGAGUCCCCUUGCAGACUACAGUGAUCUGCACAGACCAAUUUUUUUCCUCUCUAUCUGGGACCUCGCAAUGGCCCCCUGCAACUUAACUGCUGUCCUCACCAGCCUUUUCUCCGGGCUGUGUGUUGACCUGGCAAAUGCUUCUAGCUGUAAGGAGAUGAAAAGAAGGGAGAACAAAUGGCACCUGCCUGAGUUACAAGUGACGAUCAAACUGAGGAAGGGGAAACGUCCACUUACCUUGUCACAUGUAACAUAAACUGAGUUUAUAGAGCAGGAGCUAACAUUUAAUAUAGCUCAGCUCCAGGUAUCAUCUCUCUGUCUUGGGCUUUUAAUGAUUACAGCAUUGCUCUGGUUUCCCUCUACUCGAUCUUUGGGCAUGAGAAAAGAAGAAUGUCCACUGUGAUACUUUAAAUCCAACAUGGGGAUUGCAUGAUCAAGGAGCUCACUUAGUCCCAGUGCCACAAUUCCUGUCUCACUCUGGUUUUGGUGCUGGAGAUCCACAGUAGCUAAGAGCAUCUCAGCAUAGUUUUCACAUUUGUCAGGUUUGAACAGAAUCCUUCCUCUGUCAUUUGGGCACAACAUCCUUUAAGCAAAUUAAAUUAGUGUAUAUACACUUUCUAGCUCCUCUCCUUUGUUAAAUCUUUGGUUGAUCACCCUGCCUUGAACACAAGACUUUUAGUACUUAAUUAACCUUUCCCUCAAGACACCAGAACAGUUGUGCUCUAUCCAUCUCCUUCCCAACAGAGACACAGAAAUUCCACAAGAUGGAGAACAUUUUUCUAGGCCUGCACUCAUUAAAGAAUGAUAAAAACCAUGGGACUGGAAUUCCAACCUCAAGACAAAGCACAGUUUUACCCCCAGUGGUAUUAAGGCUACUAUCUGAACAACAACUAGCUGUCCCUUUCAUCUCACAUUUGCCUGACAAAAGUGAGAUACUAAACUUUGAUCACUGCAAUGUGUCCUGCACUAAAACUGGCCAGUUUACAUUGGAGGAAAAAACCUAGAGAGAUAACAUAGUGAAAAACUCUGGUCUCUAAUCCAACAGACAGAUAAAAAAACAGAAGCAGGGGGAAGAAAUCCUACAACAUGAUACUAGGGAGAUAAUGCCAGUGAAAUGUGUCAGACUUUAUAAUUACUGUUAAUGAGGUUAAGCUAAGGGCAACUAAUCCUGUGGGAGAAUAUGGUGGCUUUGUGAUCAAGGCCUUUUCUGAAAUACAAGUCUUCUGCAAUCCUCAAUCCUAAUGCCUCUCCCCUUCUGGAACAACCACUGUCCCCCAGCACAGAAAUGUCUCCUGUUCUCACAGAGCCACCCCAGCAGUGUGCAGUUGUCUUGCCUACCCACAAAGGCAGGUUUAUCAUGGGCAAUUGCACCCCAAACAAGGAACAGGUUUGUCUCCUGCUUGCAAUAGCUCCUGACUGCACAGGCACCAGCUUGUGUGUGCACUGCACUUUGAUUUGAAAAGUGCCUUUUGACUUGUGUUUUACCGCCACUGCCAGUUAUUCCAGGACUUGAGUCAAACCACUGGGAAGACCAAAUGCAGAUGCAUCAGAUGAAGAGGUCUAGAAGAGACCUAGAGUAAAAGCCAGUUCAGUUUCCAUCUCCUCCUCUUUUUCACGUGCCCCACUCAGCACCAUAUUUAUGGUGGCUAUGCAGGACACUCCUACAGCAACUUCUGUGUAUUAAACACUGUGCAAGUCACAGUGUUUCUGCUAAUGUUGGCAAUGUAACUUUGAAACCACUCUUUUCUAGAGGCAGCAGAAAGUUGAUGGUACAAAACAACCAUGGGAAUUGCUUGUUUUGACACAAAAUUUCACUGCUUCUGAAGAAGAAAAUUAACAUCACAAACAUUCCCCCUUCCAGCAGAGAGAAGGAAAAUGGGGCAAGUGGCUGCUCCACACGAAGCUGCCCAGACCUGAAAUGGAAGUCUGUGCAAAGGUCUACAGGCCACUGGGGCACAUUUGCAAAGCCCACAACAAAUUC